UGAGGGGGAGGGGGAGGAGCGCACCCACACACACUGGCAGACAGUCUGUGUUUUUGUGUGAUAGUUUAGCACCGUGGGGACAGGGGGCCACGGUGAUACAACUCCAUAGAGCCGCCGUACAAAAACCCCACGCAACUUUCAAACAUUGCUAUGGAACUAGAGAGGGUCAGAAUACCAGUUGACUGACAAAUAUCAUCCCAUCUUAGACUCUGGGGAUAAUUACUUGAAUUAUAUUGAAGGAUUCGUGAGAAUUUAAGAAAAUGUAAUGCAUAUCAGGUUUUGGGGAAGAAAUCAAGUGAAGUGAUACCCCAGUUAUAAUUCUCUCCAAAAACACCCCUUCAUCAUGAACCUAUUUUGGCGUUGUUCAUUUUAAUAUAUGCUUCAUGAGAAUGUCUUCAGGAUUGCUCUGUUUCUGCUUUAUAUUUUUGGAGUACAAGAUGUCCUGGAUUACUUUUUUGUGAGUGAAAACAAGCAAUGUGACACUGGAAGCCAAGCAUAUUUUGGAGACGGAACAAAACUGACUGUUUUAGAUCCGAACGUGCCCAUCACUCCCCCCACUGUGAAGGUAUUUCCUCCUGGAAAAAGUGAAAGGUGUGACAAGGAUGUCCAGAAGAAAAGGAAGUCAAAGUCAGUUACCCUGUUGUGCGUGGCCUCAGGCUUUUACCCUGACCAUGUGCAUGUGUCCUGGCGGUUCAAUACAGAGAAUCGAACCAAAGGAGUGGGAACAGACAAUAGUCCCAAGCGUCCCGAGCCUGAUACUGAUGGCAAAAUGUACAGCAUCACCAGCAGGCUGAGAGUUCCAGUCAAAGAAUGGGCAAAGCCCAAAAACACUUUCACCUGUGUGGUCGAUUUUUUCAAUGGGGCAACUACUGUAACUACAGAAGGCUAUAUAACUGGAACGGCUGAACAAGGCGAAGUAGACCCAGCUUUUUAUGCGAUGUCAGCUCAAACUGCCAAAUUUGCAUACAGCAUUUUCAUCGUUAAGAGCUGCGUGUAUGGACUGUUUAUCCUCAUUGUUGUCAAGAAGCAGAUUUCUCACGGCUCAAAGGAGAAGUGGUAAACUCAGAUGCUAGUGGAAUCUCUCAGGAUCCUUGGAGUAUGGAGGUGUCGUCCAGUUCUCCACUGUAGGAAGAAAUCCAUCACUCCCUCUUUUUCAUUAAUUAACCUUUUCAAUCAAUCAAAUAUCAUUUUUUAAAUGUUCUUUAUACAUUUCUCUCAUUUAAAAUCAUGGUCCAUAUGUAGACUGAAGUAUAGCAUGCAAAAAUGUUGCUCCUUUUUUUCUAAUGUUAUCCUGGCUAGCAUGUGCUAUUAGGGGUUUGAGUUUUUCUGUAAUACCAGAUUAAUGAAAUUACACUUUGCUUACUGAUUUAAUUCCAAUGAUGUUUCUUUAUCUUACCUUAGAAUUAGUAUGUACAUGAAUAUGUGUAUGAUUUUUUUUAUAAAAUGCCUUGUUAUCAUCAAAUAAAAUUAGUUCUUGAAGACAA